rnacentral:tRNA from 1 species
GCCCAGCUAGCUCAGUUGGUAGAGCAUGAGACUCUUAAUCUUAAGGUCGUGGGUUCGAACCCCACAUUGGGAG